GAUGAACGCUGACAGAAUGCUUAACACAUGCAAGUCGAGCGAGCGGCGGACGGGUGAGUAAUGUCUGGGAAACUGCCUGAUGGAGGGGGAUAACUACUGGAAACGGUAGCUAAUACCGCAUACCAUCAGAUGUGCCCAGAUGGGAGUAGCUAGUGGGUGGGGUAACGGCUCACCUAGGCGACGAUCCCUAGCUGGUCUGAGAGGAUGACCAUCCACACUGGAACUGAGACACGGUCCAGACUCCUACGGUAGGCAGCAGUGGGGAAUAUUGAACAAUGGGCGCAAGCCUGAUGCAGCCAUGGCGCGUGUGUGAAGAAGGCCUUCGGGUUGUAAAGCACUUUCAGCGGGGAGGCGUUACCCGCAGAAGAAGCACCGGCUAACUCCGUGCCAGCAGCCGCGGUAAUUC
rnacentral:rRNA from 1 species